rnacentral:rRNA from 1 species
AUUGAACGCUGGCGGCAGACCUAACACAUGCAAGUCGGGCGAGUGGCGGACGGGUGCGUAAUGUCUGGGGAUCUGCCUGAUGGCGGGGGAUAACUACUGGAAACGGUAGCUAAUACCGCAUACCAUCAGAUGUACCCAGAUGGGAUUAGCUUGUAGGUGGGGUAAAGGCUCACCUAGGCGACGCCCCCUAGCUGGUCUGAGCGGAUGAUCAGCCACACUGGAACUGAGACACGGCCCAGACUCCUACGGGAGGCAGCAGUGGGGAAUAUUGCACAAUGGGCGCAAGCCUGAUGCAGCCAUGCCGCGUGUAUGAAGAAGGCCUUCGGGUUGGAAAGUACUUUCAGUCGGGAGGCGUUACCGACAGAAGAAGCACCGGCUAACUCCGUGCCAGCAGCCGCGGUAAUUC